rnacentral:rRNA from 1 species
CGUAGGGUGCGAGCGUUGCCCGGAUUUAUUGGGCGUAAAGGGCGCGCAGGCGGCUCGGCACGUCCGUUGUGAAAUCGCCCGGCUCAACUGGGCAGGGUCAGCGGAUACGGCCGAGCUGGAGCAAGCCAGGGGGCAAUGGAAUUCCCGGUGUAGUGGUGGAAUGCGUAGAUAUCGGGAGGAACACCAGUGGCGAAGGCGGUUGCCUGGAGCUUUGCUGACGCUGAGGCGCGAAAGCGUGGGGAGCGAUCCGGAUUAGAUACCCGGGUAGUCCACGCCGUAAACGAUGCGGACUAGGUGUCGGGGGUAUCGACCCCCUCGGCGCCGCAGCUAACGCAUUAAGUCCGCCGCCUGGGGACUACGGCCGCAAGGCUA